GACACCUUACUCAUUGAUGUAGCUUGUGAGCAGCAUCCCUGCAGACUGUUUGCUGUGUUCAUUUUAGAUUAUCUUAAAAGAUAUAAGGUGAGCACUGGCAAUCUUUUUUGUAGGGUUUUUAGGAUUGGUCUCUAUCUAUUUUAAAGACCUAGCACAGCUAGAUUUGACAUUAUUUAACUAAUCUUUAUUCCAAAUUGUUGAAGCUGUCUCAAAUUCCUUGGGGCGUGUCCAUGGAGUCAUGCCGCACAUUUUGGAUUGGAUUUUGAUAUGGGCUCUGACUAGGCCCCUCAAGGAUAAUUCCACUGUAGCUUUAGCUUUGUGCUUUGGGUCAUUGUAACUAGGGGUGUGCCGAUCUCGUCAUGCUCAGAUCCGUCAUCGUAUCCGUUUGUCACACAUCAUACUCGUAAUUGGAUAUAAUUAAGAGUGGAGAACCCGGAGGUGUUUUUUGAAUGAUGGUAAAGCCUAUACUUGAUUUAUGCGUUACUGUGCUGAUCAGAUCACUUAUCAGUGAGACUCUGAUGUUCUGUGGGCAAACUAAAAGAAAUCAACAUAGCAACUUUUAGUAAACCAACCUUUGGCUGUUUAACUUUUGAAAGGGUUAAAACGUUUCUCUUCUAAAGCCUAGCCUUCGCUCUAAAGCCAUCAGUGGCGAGGAAAUUCCCAACAGUCUAUGGACCAACAGACCAAGUGCUAAUGAGGCCGUCUUCCAUUAAUUGAAUUUUGCGUGGCCCAUCCACGGUGCUUUAGUCCUCCUGCCGUGCCGCUCUCAGCUGCUGGGUGAUUAACCUGGGAGGAACUCUACAUUAUGCUGUAAAUUCUGCCACCUGCACAAAUUGUGGAGGACAGGCCUGCAACCCACCCACCAUAAGCCUCACUCAGCCAACCUCACAGGCAGCACAACAAGGAGCUGUGGCACUCUGUUACGCACACACAUAUAAACACACAUUUUUAUGCAGGCCACGUACAGCACAUACAAUGUUCAAAUUUGAAAUUUGGCUUACGCAUGUAACUCAACCCCUCCACAAUGGAAAGGUACAGGGAGCAAUUCAUUGUUUCGAACAAGGACAGAACACAUUUUCUUUAUUGUUGUCUCCGGGAUUUGAUCUAGCAGUUUUUUUUACUUGUCCGAUGGUCAUACGGCCAUCAUCACACACCACAUACAGUAUAGCGUUUUUACAUUACACCACAUUUUUCCAGAUGUUUCAAAGACAAGUCGAGACGCUAGAUUAUUUUGUCUUGUAAACUUGCAGAUAUCCAUAGCUUGAGACACUAGAUUAUUUUGUCGUGUAAACUUGCAGAUAUUGAUCGCUCGACACGCCACAAGUGUGAAGACAAUUCUGACAGAACUGGAGGUUUCUGUGCGCUGUGCACGCAUAUCAGUUGAUUUUCCCAUGACCGACGGACAUGCCGGUGAAAAUUCAAACAGUAUGGAAAUGUCUAUGCAAACCAAGAAAUUGGAUGAUUUCCAUUGGCACUCGAGUGAGACGCUUUUCCACAAGGCACUGCUAAUCUCCCAGGCCUCCGUCUGUAGAACUUAUUCUGUGACAUAUUGACAAAGGGAUUUAUUCAUUCUUUACUGUGUUGGACAAAUCAUCAAAGAAGUCCACCAACAGUUUACAAGGAUGUGUGGUGAACGUGGAACCGACGUCAUUGCACCAAUAUGCCUCCUUUCCUCCGCUGUGAGACAUGAAGAAGGUUAUGAUGGUUUGAGGUCCGUAGUGGUGGGUGAUUGGCUGCUUUCUGUGAUAGACUUGGAUUUAUUCCCUGGAUAACAGAGGCCAGGAGACACUACAUCCCAAGGGAGAACUGCUGGAUGGUGAGGGAGCGGCACAGAUAAUAAGAAAAAGAACGAAAGGAGAUAAAGAGCGCAAGCAGGAGUGAAAGAAAACGGUGCUCGCGGCCAACAUCGCUCACACGUCCAGCGGAGAAUGAAACCGAGCCCUCUGAUUUGUGCCUAAUAAACUUGUCACAUCCUAUCAGCAGCCACAUCAAACACGUGCAGCACAAGCCCCCAGACAUGCCCAGUCAGGGGUGAUCAGGGGCGGCCAAUGGCAUGACAGGGCUACCUGUGUGAUGGAUGACGGGACAGAGCACUGCUUGAUGGGAGCGUCGGCCAAUGAUCGAAGGUGGUAGAGGUCAACUCGGGACAGUGAGGAUUAUUUCAUGCACUACUAUGUAGUUGCAGACAGAGCUGUAUAGAUUAUUUGAUUGUAAUGUACUACAUAAAUGCAUUGUAAUGCAUAGACCUCAAUGUCCAUGCAUGUAUUCGUCAGGGAAUCCCUCUGAUGUCCAAGCCAUUCUUUUUCUGUUUAAUUCAGAUUGCUAAGUCAACACAUGCAAUUGUUUUAAGACAAAUGUUUCAUUGAUCAUUUUGGGUCUUGAUAUGAAGUUGUUGGACAUACGUAGCUUUCCCCUAUAACUUAUGGAAGAUUAUUUGAGAUUACUUUGCGAUGAACGUGGCUUUAGUGUUAUUGUGCGUAAAAGCGUUGUAAUGAAUACACGGACAAGAGAGUGGAUCCAAGCGCAGAGCGCUAUGAUGUUUUAAUAACAACCCAAUCCAAAAUCCAGAAACAUAGGGCAAGCAAAAGGUUGCUACACAAGAAGGUCAGAUAAGGCAGAGGCAAAGGUACCAAAGGUCUAAGGCAGAGUCGUGGUCAAAGCACUAAUCUGAAGGGAAUGGUCUGGUACACUGGUCGACACUAGAAUUGGUAUGAAAGAAGAAGCUACAAAUAGAACUGAACGAUAUAGGAACUGUUACAGAGCAGGUGAACAGCAAUACAGGUGAAACGCAUUAGGACUAACACAGGGAAGAAGGCUACGUUCAAGAUGAAACUGAAAUGUUACAAAAUCAAAAACACAAGCCCUCAAAAGCGUAUUUGACAAAUUUUUUUCCAAAAGAUGAGCAUAUAUUAUUUUGUAUCAAAAAUAUGCAUACAUGCGUUCUUUUAUUUAUCAUAAUUUUUCAGUUCCAUACUGUGUUAACCUUAGACUCUGCUGCAUGCAGUAGAACAUGUUUCUAUAAUUUUAUAGCUUGAACUGGAUUUAACUGGAUUUGUUUUGUCAUUGUGCUACUAAUGGCCAUUGUAAUAAACAACAGUUUCACAAACAGGUUCACCUGUUGUAUGUGUAUCCAGAAUACACUGCUCCUUCAGUGGCACAGCAUUCCAACAUUGAUGCAAGUGAUCAUAGGUGAAUCUCAGCUGUUGUGUUUGUCUUUUAUGUGCUUAUUCAUCGUUCUUUGAGCUCACUUAUAACGAGGUCUAGGCAGGUGGGAAUGCAGUUCAAAUGACCUAUUGGUGCCUUUGUAGACAGAGUUCUGUCCAGUGGCCUGUUUAUUUUCUCUGCACCCACGCAGCCACACUUUGAUAUGGUGUUGCAGCAUUGCACUAUCCCAGACCUAACCUGUAGAAG